ACGAUAAGCCGAAGUCAUCCUCUAGAUUUCUUUUGUCAAGUAGUUUACAAUGACACCCAGACAAAUGAGUGCGCUCCAAGAACUGCCAAGCAGAAAUGUGAGAAGUGGGUAUCAGCUGAGAAUGAUCGCUGGGCCCGAGGACCGGAGGGUGUAGAUAUUCCUGGGACUGAUGAAAGGGGAGAGGGGAUGAGGACCAGCGCAUGCCGGCAGUGGGGAGCCUGGUGUUGCUGGGAAGCCUAAAGAGCAGGUUUGCUGGUAACAAGGAGCGUCGAGAAGAGUCUGGAAGAGAGCCAGGCCGAGAAACAAACCAUCCGGGAGUGGCGCAGGACAUAAGUCCUUAUGCAAUAGAAAAUCUGUCAACCAACUCUGGUCGAACGCUGCCCUCGGGAGCUUGAGGAUCACAGCAUAAGCUGAGCUCAUGAAUCAGGAACGCACAGCUUCAGUGGACAACCUCAGAAUGAGACGUGGAAGACACAGGUGCUUGCUCUACAAGAAAGGCACCCAUCCAGAACAGAGCGAAAUCCUUCCCGCACGCUACACAGCCUGAGCACGUCCUCAGCCAGGUGAAGGAGUCAUUGACCUGACAAAGGCUGCCCAGGAAGUCACCCAACACUUCAGCAGGCAACUAACAGGAUUCAAAACCGACAUCAGCUUCUUUGAAACAUCGCAAAGCCCAUGGGAAGGAGUGGGAUAGGAAGCACUUGGGGGAGGCUCCCUCAGACCUUGUCCCUCCAGGUCCCUCUGCUGAGACUGCAGAGAGGACUGGAAGGAGAGGGGCUGGAAGGAGAGCUCCAAGGUCCUCAGAGGCUCUACAGCAGCAUCCUGCCAUACCCCGACUCUCUAUCUGUCUCGGAUGAUCCGCUAAGCCCAGGGUGGCUCCGUCGCCCAACCCAGGCAACAGAAAGUCUUAGUUUUGCCGUGCCCCUUGGUCUCUAGCCUCAGGACUGUUGCAGGAAUAGCCCUAGCUCCUUGUGUAUUUCCUAAGUGCAUCCCUAAGACCUGAAUGGCUACUUGGCGGGGCUCAGCUAAACUGAGAUGUGCUCAAAGACGAAGAACCAGCAAAGAAGUGCGUUGUCACACACAACAUGAAGCUUCCAGUUUCCUCCAGGCGCACUCCACGCAGUAAGGACUCAUUCCUUAUUUUAUUAUUAUUUUUCUUUUUUCAAAAACAGGGUUUCUCUGUGUGGUUCUGACUAUCUUAGAACUCACUCUGUAGAGCAGGCUGGCCUCGAACUCUACCUCCCAAGUGCUGGGAUUUAAAGAAGUUUUCACCACCACCGCCUGGCCCUAAUUAUAAAAUUCUUUUAAACAUUUAUUUGUGUGUGUGUGCAUGCAUGUGCACGGUGCGUGUGGAGAUCAGUGAAUUGGUUCUCUCCUACCAUGUGGGUUUCAGGGCUAGAACCCCAGAUCAUGAAGUUGAGCCCUUUUGCUGACGUAUCCAUGACAGGAUGCCCUACUACCCACCCCCUGCCCAGAUGUUCUUUUUUGUUAAUAACUGCUUAAAGUUUUGUGACAGAGAGCAGCCUUCUCUGCACGCACCUCAUCGCAGAUACCUACAAAGCUCUUAAUUCAUGAGUUGUCUGCUUUCUAACUCUGCAUAUUUGCAUCUCUCUCUCUCUCUCUCUCUCUCUCUCUCUCUGGAUACAGGGUUUCUCUAUGUAGUCCUAGCUGUCCUGAAGCUCUGUAUGUAGACCAGGUUGGCGUCAAACUCAGAAAUCCACCUGGU